rnacentral:rRNA from 1 species
UACGUAGGGUGCAAGCGUUGUCCGGAAUUAUUGGGCGUAAAGAGCUCGUAGGCGGCUUGUCACGUUGACUGUGAAAACCCAGGGCUCAACCCUGGGCCUGCAGUCGAUACGGGCAGGCUAGAGUGUGGUAGGGGAGACGUGGAAUUCCUGGUGUAGCGGUGAAAUGCGCAGAUAUCAGGAGGAACACCGGUGGCGAAGGCGGGUCUCUGGGCCAUAACUGACGCUGAGGAGCGAAAGCGUGGGGAGCGAACAGG